GAUGAACGCUGGCGGCGUGCCUAAUACAUGCAAGUCGAGCGAACAGAUGAGGAGCUUGCUCCUCUGACGUUAGCGGCGGACGGGUGAGUAACACGUGGAUAACCUACCUAUAAGACUGGGAUAACUUCGGGAAACCGGAGCUAAUACCGGAUAAUAUAUUGAACCGCAUGGUUCAAUAGUGAAAGACGGUUUUGCUGUCACUUAUAGAUGGAUCCGCGCCGCAUUAGCUAGUUGGUAAGGUAACGGCUAACCAAGGCAACGAUGCGUAGCCGACCUGAGAGGGUGAUCGGCCACACUGGAACUGAGACACGGUCCAGACUCCUACGGGAGGCAGCAGUAGGGAAUCUUCCGCAAUGGGCGAAAGCCUGACGGAGCAACGCCGCGUGAGUGAUGAAGGUCUUCGGAUCGUAAAACUCUGUUAUUAGGGAAGAACAAAUGUGUAAGUAACUAUGCACGUCUUGACGGUACCUAAUCAGAAAGCCACGGCUAACUACGUG
rnacentral:rRNA from 1 species